GCCCGUACCCUAAACCGACUCAGGUGGUCAGGUAGAGUAUACCGAGGCGUUCGAGUGAAUCGUGGUUAAGGAACUCGGCAAAAUUCCUCCGUAACUUCGGGAUAAGGAGGACCCCGUGACUUCCCAAUGCUUUGCGUGUUGGUGGGGUUGUGGGGUCGCAGAGAAUAGGGAGAAGCGACUGUUUAUCAAAAACACAGGUGCGUGCGAAGCCGUAAGGCGAUGUAUACGCACUGACGCCUGCCCGGUGCUGGAAGGUUAAGAGGAACCGUCAGCUGACUUUUGUUGGUGAAGCGGUGAAUUUAAGCCCCAGUAAACGGCGGUGGUAACUAUAACCAUCCUAAGGUAGCGAAAUUCCUUGUCGGGUAAGUUCCGACCUGCACGAAUGGCGUAACGACUUCUCCGCUGUCUCAACCGCGAACUCGGUGAAAUUGCAGUACGAGUAAAGAUGCUCGUUUCGCGCAGAAGGACGGAAAGACCCCGGGACCUUUACUAUAGCUUGGUAUUGGUGUUCGCUUGGACUUGUGUAGGAUAGGUGGGAGACUGUGAAGCUGCCGCGCCAGCGGUGGUGGAGUCGUCGUUGAAAUACCAUUCUGGUUCAAGCGGUCACCUCAACCUUGGCCCGUGAUCCGGGUUGGGGACAGUGCCUGGUGGGUAGUUUAACUGGGGCGGUUGCCUCCUAAAAUGUAACGGAGGCGCUCAAAGGUUCCCUCAGCCUGGUUGGUAAUCAGGUGGCGAGUGCAAGUGUACAAGGGAGCUUGACUGUGAGACCGACGGGUCGAGCAGGUGCGAAAGCAGGAACUAGUGAUCCGGCCAUGGCACGUGGGUGCGUGGUCGCUCAACGGAUAAAAGGUACCCCGGGGAUAACAGGCUGAUCUUGCCCAAGAGUCCAUAUCGACGGCAUGGUUUGGCACCUCGAUGUCGGCUCGUCGCAUCCUGGGGCUGGAGUCGGUCCCAAGGGUUGGGCUGUUCGCCCAUUAAAGCGGUACGCGAGCUGGGUUCAGAACGUCGUGAGACAGUUCGGUCCCUAUCCUCUGUGCGCGCAGGAAAUUUGAGGAGGGCCGUCCCUAGUACGAGAGGACCGGGAUGGACGAACCUCUGGUGUGCCAGUUGUACCGCCAGGUGCAUGGCUGGUUAGCUACGUUCGGAAGGGAUAACCGCUGAAAGCAUCUAAGCGGGAAGCCUGCUCCAAGAUGAGGUUUCCGCGCCCCACUUGUGGGGUGAGAGGCCCCCGCCAGACGAGCGGGUUGAUAGGCCAGAGGUGGAAGCACCGCGAGGUGCUCGUGAGCCGACUGGUACUAAUGGGCCAACACUAAACAAC
rnacentral:rRNA from 1 species